rnacentral:rRNA from 1 species
UACGUAGGGUGCGAGCGUUAAUCGGAAUUACUGGGCGUAAAGUGUGCGCAGGCGGUCGCGCAAGUCGAGUGUGAAAUCCCCGGGCUUAACUUGGGAAUUGCGCUCGAAACUACGUGGCUCGAGUGUGGCAGAGGAAGGUGGAAUUCCACGUGUAGCGGUGAAAUGCGUAGAGAUGUGGAGGAACACCGAUGGCGAAGGCAGCCUUCUGGGCCAACACUGACGCUCAUGCACGAAAGCGUGGGGAGCAAACAGG